rnacentral:lncRNA from 1 species
GGGCCCGCUGCGGGGCUGGGGCGGGUGCUUUCUCGUUUAACACGAACCAGACAGGCAGUUAGGUUUGAACAAAUGAGGAUCCGGAGGUCCAGAGAGUAUAGGUGCAGAGAGUAAAGUGACAGGUCUAAGUAGUGAAGUAGCCGGGGCUGGAACCCUCGUCCCAGGCAGUGGGGCACAGGCUGUCUUCAUCGCGGAGAUGGCAGUCGGGGAGCGUCGCUCCAGAAAGGGCCAGGGAGUGCGGGAGCGUCCGUGUGCGAAAGAGAACGCCCCAGUGGGAUGCUUUGGCUGUGUCUCUCCCUUUUGGAGGAGUUGGUGGGUGGUGGAGUCGUUAAGUCCCGUGCAGUUGUUAGUGCAGGGUAAGAAUGGGCUCCUCCAGAGAGGGUAGCGCCGAAUAGGAUUUCGUUUGGAGGCAGGACUGGUGCCUCAAGGUCUCUUUAAAAGGAAGAUAAGCGAGCGGCCUGAAACUACCGGGUACUCCCUCUGGGCCCAUGGGCUUCAUGGUGGCCGACCUUUGGGUGAGAAGGUUUUUGUUUUUUGGUUUUGUAUCCGAAAUUACAUCUAGGGCUAAUGUUUCUUGAAAAUGUUAAGGUUGAACUCGGAUUUUUGGGGUUGAGUUGGAUGGAGCUUGCAUCCUUACAUUCAACUCAGAACAAGCUUGAAUGCCUGCUGCAAGGAUGACCUGGUCUGUAGUGUGACCACAAGAUAUAACCUUCUGCUAGGGGAAAUUUUUUUCCCCCUGGAGUUAGCUGAUCCUUUUUGAUUUUUAUGUUUUCAUUCCCUAAUUUGCAAUCUCUCCAGCCGUGCUGAUGUGUAUUUCAGGGGAAACCUGUGGGCCGAUGAGUUAAUGCAUUUAUUCUUUGCUACUACUAUUCUCCUUUUUAUGUUUUUGGGCUAAACCUGAAACAGCCAAUAUUUCAUGGAGUGAGGCCCCAUCUUUUUUAUAGCUUUACUUGUGAUACUAUAUCUAGGGUAAGAGCUUACCGAAAAAUGGAAGUCUUUGUUUCCAUUAGGUUUAUUAAGCCCAGUUUAAAAUUACUAAGAUGAGAAGAAUCAUUUCGUAAUUCAAAGUAGGAAACUCCUACCUAAUCUGAUAGAAUAUACAAUUAUUAGUAUCCCUAUAUAGUUCAUUACUCCUCAUAGGAACUCACUAAAUAAUGAAAAUUCUUGCAACAUUAUAUUUGCAUACCACUUUAAACUUCUUUGUGGAGUCCUUGGUUCCUAGCCCAGGUUGUGCCAGUAAGUGUUUAGAGUGCUGUCAUUUAAUCUUCAUGUCAGAGAGGGAAAGCGGUAUGGUACAGUAAGUAGUUAAGAAUGUAGGGCCGGGCACGGUGGCUCACGCCUGUAAUCCCAGCACUUCGGGCUUCCGAGGCGGGCGGAUCACGAGGUCAGGAGAUCAAGACUAUCCUGGCUAACACGGUGAAACCCCGUCUCUACUAAAAAUACAAAAAAUUAGCCAGUCUUGGUAGCACGCGCCUGUAGUCCCAGCUACUCGGGAGGCUGAGGCAGGAGAAUCGCUUGAACCCGGGAGGCGGAGGUUGCAGUGAGCCGGGAUCACACCACUGCACUCCAGCCUGGGCGACAGAGUGAGACUCCGUUCAAAACACAAACAAACAAAAAAACCCAAAAACCAAACCAAAGCGAAACAAAACAAAAAGAAUGUAGACUAAAGAGAAGAUUGCCAAGAGUGUCUUCUGGGUUCUGCCACUUCACUGUGUGGCCUUGGCAACCUCCCGACUUCUAGUAAAUUACCCAGAGCCCUAUCGUUCUCAGAUAUUGGAUUAUCUCUUUAAGCCGAAUUUUGGUGCCUCUUUGCAUAUUUUAAAAGUGGAAAUAGGUGGUGAUGGGCAGACAACAGACAUAUUAUAGGCUAAAGGUGUGGGUUCUGAGAACAGGGCUCACGAGUCCAGGGAUUCAUAUCCAGCGUUGAAAAGCUGAAAGUUGAGACGGCACUGAGCCCUCCCACAUGCAUUAUGCACUAGAUGAGAAUUAUUUCCGAGGAUACGAGUGGUGGUUGAUGAAAGAAGCUAAGAAGAGGAAUCCCAAUAUUACACUCAUUGGGUUGCCAUGGUCAUUCCCUGGAUGGCUGGGAAAAGGUUUCGACUGGCCUUAUGUCAAUCUUCAGCUGACUGCCUAUUAUGUCGUGACCUGGAUUGUGGGCGCCAAGCGUUACCAUGAUUUGGACAUUGAUUAUAUUGGAAUUUGGAAUGAGAGGUCAUAUAAUGCCAAUUAUAUUAAG